UGGACGGUGCAAUGUAGCUAGCUAGUGAGCAUUUGCAGGAGACUACAACGUAGAGUACAAAACAAAUGCUAAGAUCUAUUGCUGAAAUAAUACAAUGUACUAAUGUAUCUACUCGAUCGAUGAGAAGUUAGGCUUGGUAGGCGACAGGAUUCAGCAUGGAAGGUCGUGAGAGAGUCCUUGUGGUGUCUCUUAGAUUGCGAGCGGUGAUCCAGCUCUAUCAAUUCUGUGAAUACAUCACCCCAAUGUUAUGGACAUUGCAGAAAGCACAUCACUUCACCACUCAUCUAUUCUGAUUGCAGUUGUGUAUUCUACGACAACAUGUUGUGUGAAUGACUGAGUUUGCCGAUGCGCUCUUCCCUUCUAUGUGCACCAAGUUGGUAGAAGAUGAACUAGAUCAUUCGAGAAUCAGUUG
rnacentral:lncRNA from 1 species